CCCGGCGAGAGUCGAGAGCUGCCGGCCCAGACCUCCGCCGCCUCCGCCUCAUCCUGACAGCGGCCGCCGCCGGCGAGAGGAGGAGGAGCGCCGCGCAGGCGCCCACGGCAAAACUCCCACACAUUUUGAUUCCGCCUGGAUCAGACUCGUGCAUCACCCCUGCUGCAAACAGAAGAACUGCCUCUGGCAAUAUUUAGAAGAACAUGAUGCCCAAGAAGACUCUGCAAUCUUUGUGUAAACCUUGGACCAACUGAGGAGAUUCCACAGGAUUUCAGAGGAUCACCAGAUCUAUGCAAAUCCUUCAGCUGAACAAGCCCACCCUUGUAGACUCUUUCAUCCAGAUUUCCUUUGAUUAUUCAUCACACCUUUAAAAGUGUCAAAAAGCUUCUGACCUUCUUUUAAAAACAGCUGAAGACAAACAUCUGUUGUGAAAUGGAUGCUUCUUCACAGGCUUGAUACAUCAAGCAAAUUUCAGUGGAGUUAUUCUUGCCUCACACCAAGGGUGCAGUAGUGUUUGCAUGUGCAUGAAGAGCACUGUGAGUUACUGUUGGAGUGUUUCUAGCAUCUCAGGAAAGGCAGCUUCUCAAGAAGAUAAAUAGAUCUUUUGAGGAAUCUUUGCUGCACCACUGAAGCAUUCCACCAGUGAAGAUGUCUGGAGAAGUGGUAAGAGGAAAUACAAGUGACCUCCAGAGCAAACUAGGUCAACUGUCCAAAGCAAUGCUGGACCAUGUGCUUUCACGAGAGAUGAAUGUGAACGUGAGUUCACCUACAGCUAUAACCCUUUUUGUAGCUAUACAGCAAUAAAACUUGGAAAUUAAAUUCUGUACAUCGUAGUGAUGUAUCUGUCAGCAUUAUCAGUACUCAAUGCCAAAUGACAAAAUAAUGUUGCACCUGAAUAUCUCUGUUUAAGUAAUAGGUUGUUUCCUCACUGCCCAGUUGGUGUAUCCUGGAGAUGCUGUACUGUGAAGGCUGAAUGUAUUUAUUAGUAUUUAAAAUGUUCUGUGCCCUUAAUUCCAUCCUCAAUUCUCCAAACCAUGACAAGUGAUCACUAAAGAAGUCACUGGAAUGAACAGCCACUGAAUUCCAGUAUGGACAAGGAACCACGGAAAAGGACAGACUUUUAACCUGUGCACGUACGAAGCAGGGGUUUGGGGGUACAUGGCUGCUGGCAGAUUGAGAAGGGGACAUGACCUGUUCACUCUAAGGGACUGAGCACACCUGGAGAAGACUGUAUUUGUUUGGAGGACCUGACAGACUUCACUGGUUCCUUGCCUUUCCUUGAAAAGGUCAUCCAAAAAGCCUUUCAGGUGUCCCAGUACAGUAGUAAGGUCCUCAGUGUGAAUGAGUAGAAUAGAAUGCUUUUGCUGUUAUCGUCUGCUCCUAAAUUGCUGCUACUCCUGCUAAACCUGUGGCUUGACAACUGACUUCUUGGUAACUUGUGGCUGAUUACCUCAGGUUCUCCUUUACACUUCUCUGGGCAACAUUUUGCUCUCACAAGCAGAAAUACAGACAUGAAAUACUAACCACAUCACUUCAAGCAAACAAAUGGGACUGUGCACCCCCAGUCUGAGUAAUGCCAUGGCGUGGUGUUGGUUGAAGCUCUGCUGCCUUAAAGAUAGCACAGGAUGGGUGGGCUGUGAAAGCAGAGACAAAGAUGUAAUGCAUAUUCCUCUGGCAUUCUUGAGUAACACCCUCUUCUAACUGGGUGAUACUGUUGACCUGUUUCAUAAAUCAAUAACUGAUGCUUCUGAAUAAAUACUUUCUCUGUAUCUUC